rnacentral:lncRNA from 1 species
AAGAACAGACCUAUGUGCAUUUUGUAGGAAGAAAAAUGUGAAUGGAAAAGGGAGAAAAGGAGAGAAACGGGGGGAAAAUCUGGAUAAUACAUUAAAGUAACCAUAAUUUUGGAGAUGCAUUCGUCUUAUUGAAACUCUGUGUGUAACCAGUGAUACCGGAGUCGGAUAUUUGCUCAAUCAGGAUGCUCAACAAUUUGAGCCUUUACUUUAAAGUUUGGAGCUGCAUAGAUUUCCUCGGGGCAGUGAUUCUUUUUCACCCCUUUGAAUUCAGAAGGAUGGCACAGACAUCUAAAACACACUUUUUGCCAUAAGAGAUGCUGAAGGCUCAUCUUAAGCACUUCCUGCUCCACUUUGGAAUCAGCCAUUUUUCCAGCUUCAUUCUCAGACGGACUUUAUCUCUUCCCAUUCGCCUAAUAGCAAAGAUGGCCCACGGGCAGCUCAAGCCAAAGUCAUCUUUACAGAUCAAGAUCAUCCAAGAAGAAAGACCCCCUGGUUCCCUCCCAGUAUCCAUAACUACCCACCCAAAAGGAAUCUGAUUGGCUUGUUUGGAUCACAUGUUCUCCUUUGAACCAAUCACUGAAUCCUCUGAUUAGCCAGCCUGGGUCAUAUGCUCAGCUCCAGGGAACAAGGAUGGUAGUUCUUGAUUUUCAGCCCUACCAAAAAUUCCAAAAAGAAGACCUACAAGACAGGUAAAAACUUUCAGAUAACUACACCACUGUGGAAUGUCUCAAUUUUUCCACUACUUUUCUCUCCAAGAACUGUUGAAAAAUCUUAGUUUGGACAUAUUAUACCAUUAUGCAACUUACUCUUCACAUGAUAUUCAUCAUUUACACAUUAGGUCUGCCUUUGCUCUUUUUUUUCAGUCAGACUAUAACACUGAAAGUAGAAUCACUUGAAAGAAAAACGGUCACUGAAAUGACAUGAUGGUUCUCAGUUCUAAAAGGUCAUUC